GACGAACGCUGGCGGCGUGCCUAAUACAUGCAAGUCGAACGCAGGGGGGACGGGUGAGUAACACGUGGGUAACCUCCCAUCAGAGGGGAUAACACUUGGAAACAGGUGCUAAACCGAUACUGAUGGAUGGACCCGCGGUGCAUUAGCUAGUUGGUGAGGUAACGGCUCACCAAGGCCACGGUGCAUAGCCGACCGGGGGGGGUGAUCGGCCACACUGGACCGAAGCCACGGCCCGGACUCCUACGGAGGUCAGAAGUAGGGAAUCUUCGGCAAUGGAGGAAAGUCUGACCGGGCACCGCCGCGUGAGUGAAGAAGGUUUUCGGAUCGUAAAACUCUUUUGUUAGAACAGCGGUAUCUAACCAGAAAGCCACGGCUAACUACGUGCCAGCAGCCGCGGUAAUAC
rnacentral:rRNA from 1 species